AUUUCCUUCAAUAAAUCCUCUUUCAGCUCAUGCCAUAUUGACUUCUGGCAGCUCACUAAUUGACUUUUUAGAAUGGUCACAUGACUGUAGGAUUCAUGCAGUUCAGAAGCAUAAAAUUCCUCAUGAAAGUGUUGCUUUACUUGGUCUUUUGUGUAAAUAUGGGGAGCGAGAGGAUUCUAAAUCUGGAAUGACUGAAAGCUCCUCAUCAGUAUCAUAUGUUCCUGGUAGGAUUCAACCAAGAAGCAACUCUGAAACAAAGAAGAGGAAAUGCACUGACGAUCAUCCCAAAUUUAACAUCUAUGAAAAUGAAUUAUGCCAUUUUGAGUCCCCUACACUAUUUCCAGAUGUUAGAUUGAGUCCUCCAAGAGCAUCUGCCCCACGCAAUAUUUGGAUGUCAGAAAAUUCUGAGAUAAUUGAUGAGUGUGGAAAACCUGGUUUAACCUUUGAUGAUAAUUUUUUUUGUGAAAGGAAGAAAGUGGAGGCAAAUAUGAUGAGGAAUUAUGCAUUUGGAAUGACUGAAGGUCCUCCUAAAUUAGAAGAGAGUCAAAAACCAAAAUAUCUUCAGCACAACACGAAUUUUGGUGUAGAAGAGAUAUUGCAUAUGGCUGCAAGGAACAGAUCUCAUAGACUUGGGAAAGAGAAAUCUGGAAAUCAGCAGGAGGAUUUAAAAGGUGAAGUUAUUGAUACUAAUCUCGCUGCAAUGUUGAGAAAAGAAAUUCCAGAGUUGAACUCUUUAAGUUUCUCACCUCAUGAUGUGAACAAGGACUGGGCAACAGGUAUGUCUGGAACCGCAAGAAAACUAUCAUUUGGUUCAAGUGGCCUUGCUAACUUCCCAACUUCUGCUGAAAUUGACUCUGACUUGGAUGUCUGGAUUUGUCAAAGUACUAAUGAAUAUAAGUCAACGAGAAAAAAUAAAAAUGCUCCAGACU
rnacentral:lncRNA from 1 species